GACGAACGCUGGCGGCGUGCUUAACACAUGCAAGUCGAACGGAAAGGCACUGCUUUUGUGGGGUGCUCGAGUGGCGAACGGGUGAGUAACACGUGAGUAACCUGCCCUUGACUUUGGGAUAACUUCAGGAAACUGGGGCUAAUACCGGAUAGGAGCUCCUGCUGCAUGGUGGGGGUUGGAAAGUUUCGGCGGUUGGGGAUGGACUCGCGGCUUAUCAGCUUGUUGGUGGGGUAGUGGCUUACCAAGGCUUUGACGGGUAGCCGGCCUGAGAGGGUGACCGGCCACAUUGGGACUGAGAGACGGCCCAGACUCCUACGGGAGGCAGCAGUGGGGAAUAUUGCACAAUGGGCGGAAGCCUGAUGCAGCAACGCCGCGUGCGGGAUGACGGCCUUCGGGUUGUAAACCGCUUUCGCCUGUGACGAAGCGUGAGUGACGGUAAUGGGUAAAGAAGCACCGGCUAACUACGUG
rnacentral:rRNA from 1 species